rnacentral:lncRNA from 1 species
UUCCUAGUUUUCUCAGGCGAAGGAUAUGAUUCAGCGAUUUCAUUGGUGAGGGCAAUCACCCUGGAGACUAUGGUAGGAGGUUUGGCACGACAGUCAUGGAAUCUGACCUCAUUCCUAUUGAGCCAAAGACAACAAAAAGAAUAGGAAAUGAGACUUAAGAUCGUUCUAGAGAUUUGUUUGUCAUGACCAUCUCCCUCGUGAAGCCAAGAUAAGCCCAUGUGUCAAAGAACUUGAAACAAAUUUCAAUUUGGCCUGGAGCAGAUUCCAAAAAGAGAGGGCUGAAGAACAUUGUAGGAGAAUAUGUGGGGAGGUAUCUACCGAAAGGUGACAUACAAAGCAAUUAUCUUGCUGGUGGCGUAGAAUAUGUGCAAAGAGGUCAGAGAUGGGUAAUCGGUUCCAGGAGAGUUUCCAUAGAAAGAGUUUUAACUUUAGGGGAGAUAGGAAGGAGCCAUAUCGCCUUCUAGCCCUGCCAAACCUCCUCCUUAGAAUCUGAUUUGAUAUACCGAUAGAAAUCAAUAGUAGACAACAAGCCUAGGGGAUUGGAUUGUCAUAUCCAAGUGUCCUCAUCAAGAGCUCUAAGAAUAUGUAUUCUAAAUAUUCGUUCAACUAGGGAACCGUGGAAGAGCCGCUCAAACAAAACAACAUUCACGCGAUUAGAAACCAAAAGAUCAACCACAAGACAAAAAUUGAAGAUUUCCUCAAUGUUUAAGUAAUGUUUAAGCGAUUUGAAAACAAUGAUGAACAGGAAGUCACACAGUUGCAACAAUGAGAAUCAGUAAUUUCAUGGAGAUAAAAUUAUCAUUAAUUUAAGCAAUGUUAACAUGAUGCACACUUAAUAAAUUUACCAACCAUUAAUCACCACAUGUCAUAUUGAAACAAUUUGCAAAAUAGGAGAUGGAUGGUAUCAAGUGCACAUCAUACAUUCAUAGACACAUACACAUGGCCACACGAGGCAUGCACAUUCACACACACUGUUCAAGAGGAAAGGCUUAAAGAAGAAGGUAUUAGGACAUCAAGAGCCAGAGAUCCUAUGAAGUCUCAGUUUAGGCAAAAAGCAACAUGUUAAAUUUGAUAAGAGGGGCCAAAAGUAGACAAGCUCUGAUACCAAAGAAUAUAAAUACUAAUCUUCUUAUCGACAUUAACCUAGCCAAAGACUAGCUUAGCUGGUAAAGACAUUGAUAGUUUAUCCUAAGGUCUUGGACUCAAAUACCACCUUUGUCGCUUACUCUUAAAAAAAAAAGAAACCCUUGCCAAAGAGAAAAUAAAAUGAAAUUUGCUCAUAAGGUUCACUGUUAUGAAAUCACAACAUACAUUUCUGCUCACAUAUAUUCUUAUCAAGGUAGAACCACAUAAAUAACUUUCAUCCCAUUUUAAAAGGAAUUUUCAUCUAUUGAAUUUUAAUUGUUUAUCUCAACGUCUACUACUAAAGAAGCAAGGGCAGAUGACUAUUAAGAAUAUUCUUACCAGAUAAGUUUUAGUCUGACCAACAUAAGUCAAACUCGUUGCUCUGUUGGAGCAGAAUUGCUGAGACCGACCAAAGAAAGCACAAGGAUGUAUCUUAACUGCCUGUCUACAACCAACUAACCAAUUACAUUUCACAUUGGUAAAGCCCUCUCUGCUUCCCUUUCGAUAAAAUGAUUCAUGUGAACAGAAUUCCAAGCUGCAUAAUAAUGCAUGUCGUAAGGUGCCAGGAAAGUAUAAUUUUACAACAAACAUGGAAUAUGCAUUUAAGGCCCAUGGCAGGGAAAAAGAAAGUCGCAGUCUUCUAAUCAUCGAAUACAACAAGGAAAAUCUUACGAACAAAGCAAUCCAAAUCCUAGAGGAACAAAACGUCGAAGAUCCUUCGACUUCCGUGACUCAUCCACAAGAAAAAGUUUCUACUAUCAUAUGUGAAACGGUUUGAAUGGCAAUAAUCGAAGCAAUACGAUCAAACAUCAAGAAGAGUCAGAAAGAUAACCAGAACAAAAUUAGUUCCUGCAAACCCUAGAUCGAAAAACACAGAAAACAUCUUUUUCAAAGUACCGGUAAUCAAGAAUGGAAUACACUUCGCAAUUCACCUAAAAACCAUCUUAUUGAUCGAUCUAACAGUACGCGAGCUUUAAGAAAAGGAAAAUAAAGAACAGAAAACACGUUCUCAAAUUACCAGUAAUCAAGAUUGGUAUGGACCUCGUGAUUCACCUAAAAUCCAUAUUCUUGAUCGAUCUAGCAAGACGCGAGCGUCAAGAGAAAAGGGAUAAUCAAGAAAGGGAAGCGGCGUACAAGGGACGGUAACCAUGAGGAGGAUCUGGCGAUGGAGACGGAUCUAAGAGGAGAAAUUUCUCUUGGUAAGGAAUUUCCAUUCCAAUCUCGCACCGGAGCUCCUGCUGGUGCUCGCGUCGCCUCCGGUUCCGGCGACAUACUCCAAAGAAGACGAGAGCAGCAACGAAGAAAAGAUCACGUAGAUGAGGAGGAGGAGCUGCGAAAGCGGCCCUCUCGUCGGCGGCGACAGCUUCGACGGGGCUUCUGGAGACCAAGGUGCGUUCGCUCGAUCUUCUUCGCCCGUUGGGCCGGAAUUCAAAUCUAACAGAUCUUUAUUCGACCCUGAGGUACGGGCUCGGGUUUUGUCGGAUUCGAUUUGAAGAUUCGACUCACCAGUCUGCAUUUGUAUAACCCUCAAGAGUCUGAACAAAUUCUGAAGAAGAUUAGAGCUCAAAAUUUGUAGAAAUAAGAUAACGUUAUAAGCUAUUUCACAGAUUAGAUAACAUGUUUCAGAACAAAUUCGGGUACUUAGCUACGACGACACAUCAUGUACCAACUUGGCAAAGAGAUGGACCAAAUUCACAUGCCCCAUGCCUCGAGCCUUCCAUUGUGAUGGCAACAUAACCAAAUAUAAGCAAUAUAUAAAUUGGUACAAGCUUCUUGAUCUGAACAUUCUAAGGGGUAAUGCACCCUUUACGAUGGAGCUUGUCCUCCUUUUCUUCUAACUUAACAGACAUUAGCGGUAUUUUCUUUUUUUAAAUGGUGUAAGUAUUCGAACAUUAUUUUGAGUUAGUUUUACCUUUAUGUCGCUGUUCUUUUAGAUUUUUGUAAUCAGUUUCACCUGAAGCUGAAAAUAAUAAUCAUAAUAAUGUCUGAUUUUAUUAAGGCAUAGAUAGUCAUCGAUAGUCAACAUAAAAUUAUGUCUGAUUUUAUAAAAAAUAUUAUAUUAAAAAUCACUAAUAAUCAUCCCAAACUCAGAAAGAAAAUAUGAAUGUGUCUACUAAAUCAAUUAAAGCAAAUGUAAAACCAACCAUGUUUUAUGUCACUUUUCUUUUAGAUUUUUGUUAUUUUUUUUACUUAAAAUGGAUGAUGAUGAUGAUGCUAAGUUUGAAAUGAAAUGUAUUAAACUAAUAGUGCUAAUGCAUGUCCCAAACUCAAAUAAAAAAAUUGAAGAGUUACCUAAGGUCGCUUAUAACUGCCCUAAUGUUUUAAGUCAAAAAUCUCAUGAAAGAUGUUAAAAUGUUCAAGGCCUAAAUCUUGAUUGUUUUGAUGAAAACAUAAAUAAAAAAUUAAUAAUAUUUUUCUAGUCCAAACGAAUGCAUUUUAAUUCAGUUGGGAAACACAAGAAGUUGAUUCAUCAUAUGAUAGAGCUACAAAUUGGUAGCUAAUUUUAUUUAGAAUUUUAAAGUAAUAUAGCUAGGUGAAAAGAGAAUUGAUCUCAUGAGUUCUAUCAUACGCACACUCUUUAUUAUAUCUUUAAAUUUAUUUAUUUAUUUUUUCUCAAAAAGUUAUACUACAAAUACUUCAAACACCAUUAUACAUCUCGACAUCCUCCAUGCAAAAAAACCACCAUUUACAUUAUUAUUUGACUAUAUACAAUAAGUCAUGUUAUACUACUCUUCUUUCUAUGAUAAUGGAUGGAGGCAUGACUUACGUAGACAUCAACUUUCCACAACAAAAUAAAUAAUAAUAAUUUUUAGUUUUUUUUAUUCAUUGGUUACUCUUUUCAAAAAGUAACCAAAUUAUUAUGGGGUCAAGUCAAUAAGAAUGGAUUUUUUUAUUCAUUGAUUACUNNNNNNNNNNNNNNNNNNNNNNNNNNNNNNNNNNNNNNNNNNNNNNNNNNNNNNNNNNNNNNNNNNNNNNNNNNNNNNNNNNNNNNNNNNNNNNNNNNNNNNNNNNNNNNNNNNNNNNNNNNNNNNNNNNNNNNNNNNNNNNNNNNNNNNNNNNNNNNNNNNNNNNNNNNNNNNNNNNNNNNNNNNNNNNNNNNNNNNNNNNNNNNNNNNNNNNNNNNNNNNNNNNNNNNNNNNNNNNNNNNNNNNNNNNNNNNNNNNNNNNNNNNNNNNNNNNNNNNNNNNNNNNNNNNNNNNNNNNNNNNNNNNNNNNNNNNNNNNNNNNNNNNNNNNNNNNNNNNNNNNNNNNNNNNNNNNNNNNNNNNNNNNNNNNNNNNNNNNNNNNNNNNNNNNNNNNNNNNNNNNNNNNNNNNNNNNNNNNNNNNNNNNNNNNNNNNNNNNNNNNNNNNNNNNNNNNNNNNNNNNNNNNNNNNNNNNNNNNNNNNNNNNNNNNNNNNNNNNNNNNNNNNNNNNNNNNNNNNNNNNNNNNNNNNNNNNCCCAAACGAAUGCAUUUUAAUUCUAACACUUAUACUAAAAACACUUUUAUUUAUCUUUUUUUACAAUUAUAUAUAUAUAUAUAUUUUUUUUUUUUUCUAAAAACACUUGUACUAUAAAUACUUCAAACACCUCUCUCUACAUCCUCUCAUGGAAAAAAUCACUAUUUACAUUAUUGUUUGGCUAUAUACAAUCACUCACUCUUCUUUUUAUGAUAAUCGAUGAGGCAUGACUUGUGCAGGCGUCAACUUUCUACUUCUUUAAAAGAUUAAAUAAAUAAUUAUCAGGUUAUUUUUUAUUGACAAAUUCCUUCACUCUUUUGGAAGACUAAAUAUAAUAAUUAUCAGGUCAAGUAAAUAAUAAUAAUUUUUAUUUUUUUAUUCAUUGGUUACUUUUUUUCAAAAAGUAACCAAAUUAUUAUUGGAUCAAGUAAACUAGAAUAAUUUUUAGUGACUUUUUUUAUUGAUUGGUUACCUUUUUCAAAAAGUAGACAAAUUAUUAAUUGGGUCAAGUAAAUGGUAAGGAUUUUGAUAGCAUUUUUCUUUGAUUCCAUUCUUAAUCAUAGUUUUCUUUCAAGAAACAUGUCAUCCUAUCUCUCUCAUCUUUUUUUUCCCAUAAAUUUCAUGCUACAUCGAUAAUUGAAAGGAAUGAGGGCUUUUGAUUUCUACCAUCAAUCUUCUAUCAUAUUGUUGGAUGUCUAUAUUUAUGAUCCCGACACCUGUGAUGAAAAUUAAGCAAUGAAAGGGCUUUCAUCAUAAGUGAGUUUUAAAUUUGUUUUGGACAUUGACUUAUUUACCUAUAAAUUGAAUUUGAUUAAUGAUAAUUUUGUUGGACACAUCUUCGUGUGGAACGUUCGGCUUUCUCCUUUUAACUUAUUCUCGUGUUGCUAGACUUUGAUAAUUUUAUUGGACACACAUGAGAGCUUAUAUAAGCUUGUACACACACAAACGAGAGCUGCCUACUUUAGAGGUAGAGCUCACUAUUAAACAUGGGUGGGAGAACCACUCUUCUUGUCCUCACCUUUUCUCUCACUGUUCUUAGCAUUGAGCUUGGGAUUUCUCAUGGCUGCCGAGAGACGGAGAGGAAAGCCCUCAUCGACUUCAAGCGUGGACUUCAUGAUCCUUCCAAUCGUCUCUCUUCCUGGGUCGGGGAGGACUGUUGUGCGUGGGAAGGAGUUGGCUGCAGCAACAUCUCUGGUCAUGUUAUCAAGCUGGAUCUGCGGAAUAGACGACGAAUGGAUCUAUAUGAAGACUGCUCUCGUCAGGAGGUGUACUACUUGUUGGAUGAUGAUCCAGGAUGCAAUUGGGCAGUGCGUGGUGACAUAACUCCAUCACUGCGUUCUCUCCAACAACUUAAUCGCCUGGACCUCAGCGGCAACUAUUUUAUGCAUAAACCUAUCCCCAAGUUCUUGGGAGCUUUCAGAAGACUAACAUAUCUUAACCUCUCAGGUGCAGGCUUCGUGGGUAGAGUACCUGACCAGCUCGGAAAUCUAUCCACUUUGCAGCACCUCGACCUUUCUUAUAACUUCUAUUUGGAUGAUGAAGGUGGUGGCUUCUUCUGCUUGUACCUUGAGAACACGAGAUGGAUCUCUAUGCUCACUUCCCUUCGGCAUCUUAACAUGACUCGUGUCCGUUUUACAAAUGCGGCCAACUGGUUACAAGAUUUGAAUGCACUACCACAGAUACAAGAGAUUGAAUUAAGAGGUUGUGACUUAGGGACCUUUCCACGUUCGCUGUCUCAUGUCAACUUCACAUCUCUCACCACUCUUGAUUUACGAGGCAAUGAUAUAAACUCCACCAUACCAGAUUGGGUGUUCAAUAUUACUAGCCUCGAGUUCCUUUAUCUUGGUGGGAAUGACCUGCAUGGAUUCUUUCCUGUUUCUGUUACAAAGUUAACGUCUCUCAGGGCACUCGACUUGUCUGGGAGUGUGUUCCAAGAUGGCUUCAUGCAGGUAGCUCCUAUAUCCAAUCUCUGCAAGCUCCAAAUUCUCUACCUGAGCCAAGUGCCUAUCAAUGAUGUGCUUGCCAAUCUAGAAAUGGUUUUCUCUGGAUGUCUUAGGAAUAGCAUGGAGGAAUUGAACCUCAGAGGCACCCAACUGAGUGGUUCCUUUCCGGAUUGGCUAGGGAACAUCAAGAAUCUCAAAUCUCUUGAUCUUUCUUUCAACUCCCUCUAUGGAUCAGUGCCUGCAUCUAUCGGGAAUCUAUCAUUGCUGCAACAUUUAGUUUUAUAUUCCAAUGAUUUGAAUGGGACGAUUUCGAAAGGCAUCGGACAACUGAAGAGCCUUGUCUAUUUGGAUCUCAAAAGUAACUCGUUGAGCUUAUCGGAGGAUGACCUGGCUAAUCUAUCAAAUUUGAAAUAUUUGGACAUUUCGUACAACUUCAUUGAAUUGAACAAAAGCGAUGAUUGGAUCCCUCCUUUUCGGCUUCAAAGUCUCUUCAUGCAUUUCUGCCAAAUCGGGCCCACGCCCCAAUUUCCAAAAUGGCUCCGAACACAGACCACUCUUCGUCAACUAGAUUUGUCAAGUGCAAGUAUCAAAGACAUGUUUUUCGACAGGCUUCCUUCUAGUCUUGAGUAUUUGGAUCUCAGAAAUAAUUAUUUAUCCGGACAUCUUCCUCCAAAAAUAUUAAACAUGAUGCCAAGACUCAAAUAUUUGUAUCUCUCCAACAACAAGAUUACUGGUGAGAUGAGUUUUUCUAGAUAUUUAUUUCUCUCAAAAAACUUCUUCUUAGGGCAUUUUCAUCCGAGAAUGUCAAAACACAAUGCCAAACUUACUAUCGUUUGAUUUAUCUAUCGUUUCAAGCUCUUUAUUUUUUCUUUUUGAAAUACUCCAAUUUUAAAAAUGGCUCCAAACACAAAUAUCCCUUCAUGUUUUAUAUUUUCACUUGCAGAAGUAAAAGACAUGAUUCUCGAUGGGCGUCCUUCUAGUCUUGAGCAAUUGGAUCUUUCUUAUAACUCUCUGCACGAAUCACAACUUGUAUCUCUUGGAAACCUCUCUAUGCUGCGAUCUUUGAAUUUAGGAUCCAACAAUUUGAAGGGGAUGCUUCCGGAAGGCAUCAAAUGGUUGAAGGGCCUUACAUAUUUGUAUCUCUACAAUAACUCAUUGAGAUUAUCGGAGGACGACCUUGCUAAUCUACCAAGUUUGAAAUAUUUGGUCAUUUCAUACAACUCUAUAUACUUGAACAAAAGCGAUGAUUGGAUCCCUCCCUUUCAGCUUAACACCCUUUGGAUGGGAUUCUGCCAAAUACUGCCCAUGCCCCAAUUUCCGAAAUGGCUCCGAACACAAACCAAUCUUCGUGAAUUAGAUUUAUCAAAUACAGGGAUCAAAGAAACGAUUCCCAAUUGGCUUCCAUCCGGUCUCCAAUAUUUGGAUCUAUCCGAUAACAAGAUUACUGGUGAGAUACCACAAUUCCUUCCAAAAUUAAAAUAUUUACUUCUUUCAAAUAACUCAUUCUCAGGGAAUCUUCCACCAAGAAUCUCAGACACAAUGCCAAACUUACAAUGGUUUGAUCUAUCUACAAAUACUAUGAGUGGCGGUAUUCCCUUCUCUUAUUGUCGAUCUAGUAAUUUGGAAAGGCUUCAGCUUUCUGAAAAUAAUUUGUCAGGAGAAGUUCCCAAUUGCUGAAAAAAUUCCUCAAAUUUACUUCUUUUAGACUUAUCAAACAACAAAUUAGUCGGUGGAUUCGCUCUGUAAUUUGCAAAUGCUAGAGUCACUGCACUUGAGUUACAAUAAUUUAUCCGGGUCGAUUCCUCGUUGUUUAAAGAGUUGCACAGAACUAUCUACUCUCGACUUGGGCCACAACAGCUUUAUCGGGAACAUACCAACUUGGAUUGGAGAAAGCCUAUUGUAUCUGAAGACACUUAGCUUACGCUCGAAUGCCUUCAACGGCAGUAUUCCUCGAUUAUCUUCUCUACCAUAUCUUCGUAUCUUGGAUCUCUCCAACAACAAUCUUUCAGGAACGAUACCACGGAGCUUUGGGAGCUUCAGUGCAUUAAAAACCGCUCCUACGUAUCAGUGUUGUUACUUCAACAAUAACACUCUCUAUGCAGAAGAUAUGUUGCUCUUCAUAAAAGGAAGUGAAAUCAAGUAUACCACCUCCAAACAACUUUCAAUUGAUACACUUAUUGAUCUCUCCGACAAUUACUUAUCUGGAAACAUCCCUGAAGAAUUGGGGAAUUUGCAUGGAUUGCGAAGCUUAAAUCUAUCCGGAAAUUACCUUAUAGGUCAGAUACCAAGAAGCAUCGACGGAAUGAAACAACUAGAAGUCCUCGAUCUCUCAAGAAAUAAUCUCUCGGGUGCAAUUCCGUCCGAUUUGGCGACCUUGAAUUUCUUAGACCAUUUGAAUUUAUCAUAUAACAAUCUUUCAGGAAGCAUUCCCACUGGCAACCAAUUGCAAACUUUUACUGAUCCAUCUAUCUACACUGGCAAUCCAUAUCUUUGUGGCCCUCCUCUGCCCAUAAAUUGUACGGUGAAUAUAGCAAAGGCCAUUGAAGAAGAGCAAAAUGAAGAUUCUUCUGAGAGCAGAAUGGAAACACUUUGGUUAUACACGAGCAUCACGCUAGGAUUUAUUACUGGAUUUUGGGUGAUUUGUAGAAGUCUUCUGUUACGACGGACAUGGAGGAUCACAUACUUUCGCGCCAUUGAUAACAUGAUUGGCAAGCUAUACGUGGUGAUGGUAGUGACAGUAGCAAAAUACAGAAGGAAGCUAUGACAACUCUGUUGUUAGAGGGGGUCGACAUAAUUCAUCCGACUUAAGCAAUAGCAAUGGUAUUGGUAUCGAUCAGUAUGUGAUACGCUCAUGGUUUGCAUGUCUUUUCAUAACACACCGUCACAUGAUUUUAAUUUUUCCUUUUUGUGCAUACUAUAGUGACUCUGUUAUAUGAUAUGUUGAUGUUUGUCUACGUAAUUGUUUGUCAAAACUUUAUGUCAUCAAAAUAUGAGUCCUCUGCCUAUGGUUUAUGAGCUGUUAUUUGUUUCAUGCAGCAGUGGUUAUGGUGUUCAUAUCUAUGCUUNNNNNNNNNNNNNNNNNNNNAGACGCCGGACGUAUCUAACUGACGACUGCGCUCAUCAGGAGGUGUACUACUUGUUGGAUUAUUAUCUAAGAUCCGAAUUGUUGGAUGAUGAUCCAGGAUGCAAAUGGGCAGUGCGUGGUGACAUAACUCCAUCACUGCGUUCUCUCCAACAACUUAAUCACCUGGACCUCAGCGGCAACUGUUUUACGCAUAAACCCAUCCCCAAGUUCUUUGGAGCUUUCAGAAGACUAACAUAUCUUAACCUCUCAGGUGCAGGAUUCGUGGGUAGAGUACCUGACCAGCUCGGAAAUCUAUCCACUUUGCAGCACCUCGACCUUUCUUAUAACUGCUAUGGGGAUGAUGAAGGUGAUGGCUUCUUCUGCUUGUACCUUGAGAACACGAGAUGGAUCUCUAUGCUCACUUCCCUUCGGCACCUUAACAUGAAUUGGGUCAAUUUGACAAAUGCAUCCAACUGGUUGCAAGAUUUGAACGUGCUACCACGUGUUCAAGAGAUUGAAUUAAGUUCUUGUGACUUAGGGACCUUUCCUCGUUCGUUGUCUCAUAUAAACUUCACAUUUCUCAUCACUCUUGAUUUACGAGGUAAUGAUAUAAACUCCACCAUACCAGAUUGGGUGUUCAAUAUUACUAGCCUCGAGUUCCUUUAUCUUGGUGGGAAUGACCUCUAUGGAUUCUUUCCUAAUUCUAUUGCGAAGUUGACAUCUCUCAGGGCACUCGACUUGUCUGGGAGUGUGUUCCAAGAUGGCUUCAUGCGAUUAGCUCCUAUAUCCAACCUCUGCAAGCUCCAAAUUCUCGAUCUAAGCUAUGUGCCUAUUAACGAUGUGCUUGCCAAUUUAAAAAUGGUUUUCUCUGGAUGUCUUAGGAAUAGCAUGGAGGAAUUGUACCUCGGAGGCACCCAACUGAAUGGUUCCUUUCCGGAUUGGUUAGGGAACAUCAAGAAUCUUAAAUCUCUUGAUCUUUCUUUCAACUCUAUCUAUGGAUCAGUGCCUGCAUCUAUCGGGAAUCUAUCAUCGCUGCAACAUUUGUAUUUAUAUUCCAAUGAGUUGAAGGGGACGAUUUCGAAAGGCAUCGGACAACUGAAGAGCCUUGUUGAUUUGGAUCUCUCCAAUAACUCGUUGAGCUUAUCGGAGGACGACCUUGCUAAUCUAUCGAGUUUGAAAUAUUUGGACAUUUCUUACAACUUCAUUGAAUUGAACAAAGCCGAUGACUGGAUCCCUUCUUUUCAGCUUCAAAGUCUCUUCAUGGAUUUCUGCCAAAUAGGGCCGACGCCCCAAUUUCCAAAUUGGCUCCGAACACAGACCACUCUUCGUCAACUAUAUUUGUCAAGUGCAGGUAUCAAAGACAUGUUUUUCGAUAGGCUUCCUUCUAGUCUUGAGUAUUUGGAUCUCUCCAAUAAUGAGAUCACUUAUGAUGCACAACAAUAUUUUCCAAAUCUAAUUAUGUUGGAUCUCAGAAAUAAUUCUUUAUCAGGACAUCUUCCUCCGAAAAUAUUAAACAUGAUGCCAAGACUCAAAUAUUUGUAUCUCUCCAACAACAAGAUUACUGGUGAGAUGAGUUCUUUCUAGAUAUUUAUUUCUCUCAAAAAACUUUUUCUUAGGGCAUUUUCAUCCAAGAAUCUCAAACACAAUGCCAAACUUACUAUCGUUUGAUUUAUCUAUCGGUUCAAGCUCUUUAUUUUUUCUUUUUGAAAUACUCCAAUUUUAAAAAUGGCUCCAAACACAAAUAUCCCUUCAUGUUUUAUAUUUUCACUUGCAGGAGUAAAAGACAUGAUUCUCGAUGGGCAUCCUUCUAGUCUUGAGCAAUUGGAUCUUUCUUAUAACUCUCUCCAUGAAUCACAACUUGUAUCUCUUGGAAACCUCUCUAUGCUGCAAUCUUUGGAUUUAGGAUCCAACAAUUUGAAGGGGAUGCUUCCGGAAGGCAUCAAAUGGUUGAAGGGCCUCGUCCAAUUGGAUCUCUACGAUAACUCAUUGAGAUUAUCGGAGGACGACCUUGCUAAUCUACCAAGUUUGAAAUAUUUGGUCAUUUCAUACAACUCUAUAUACUUGAACAAAAGCGAUGAUUGGAUCCCUCCCUUUCAGCUUGACACCCUUUUGAUGGGAUUCUGCCAAAUACUGCCCAUACCCCAAUUUCCGAAAUGGCUCCGAACACAAACCACUCUUAGUGAAUUAUAUUUAUCAAAUACAGGGAUCAAAGAAACGAUUCCCAAUUGGCUUCCAUCCGGUCUCCAAUAUUUGGAUCUAUCCGAUAACAAGAUUACUGGUGAGAUACCACAAUUCCUUCCAAAAUUAAAAUAUUUAUUUCUUUCAAAUAACUCAUUCUCAGGGAAUCUUUCACUAAGAAUCACAAAUAUCAUGUCAAGCUUACAAUGGUUUGAUCUAUCUACGAAUAAUAUGAGUGGUGAGAUUCCCUUUUCUUAUUGUCAAUUGAGGAAUUUGGAAGGGCUUCAGCUUUCUGAAAAUAAUUUGUCAGGAGAGGUUCCUAAUUGCUGGAAAAAUUCCUCAAAUUUACUUCUUUUAGACUUAUCAAGCAAUAAAUUAGUCGGUGGAGUCCCUGAUUCGCUCUGUAAUUUGCAAACGCUAGAGUCACUGCACUUGAGUCACAAUAAUUUAUCCGGGCCGAUUCCUCAUUGUUUAAAGAGUUGCACAGAACUAUCUACUCUCGACUUGGGCCACAACAACUUUAUCGGGAACAUACCAACUUGGAUCGGAGAAAGCCUAUUGUCCCUGAAGACACUUAGCUUACGCUCGAAUGCCUUCAACGGUAGAAUUCCUCAAUUAUCUUCUCUAUCAUCUCUUCGCAUCCUGGAUCUCUCCAACAACAAUCUUUCAGGAACGAUACCACAGAGCUUUGGGAACUUCAGUGCGCUAAGAAGCACUCCUACGUAUCAUUGUUGUUACUUCAACGACGGUCGAGUCUAUGAAGAUGAUAUGUGGCUAUUUAUAAAAGGAAGUGAAUUCAAGUAUACCACCAGUCAACUUUCAAUUGAUGCACUUAUUGAUCUCUCCAACAAUAACUUAUCUGGAAACAUCCCUGAAGAGUUGGGGAAUUUGCAUGGAUUGCGGAGCUUAAAUCUAUCCAGAAAUUACCUUAUAGGUCAGAUACCAAGAAGCAUUGACGGAAUGAAACAACUAGAAGUUCUUGAUCUAUCAAGAAAUAAUCUCUCGGGUGAAAUUCCUUCUGGUUUGGCGGCCUUGAAUUUUUUGAACCAAUUGAAUUUAUCAUAUAAUAAUCUUUCAGGAAGGAUUCCCACCGGUAACCAGUUGCAAACUUUUACUGAUCCAUCCGUUUAUGCUGGCAAUCCAAAUCUUUGUGGCCCUCCUCUCCCCAAAAAUUGUACAGUGGAUAUAGUGAAGACUGAUGAAGAAGAGCAAAAUGAUGAUUCUUCCAAGAAUAGAAUUGAAACAAUUUGGUUAUACACAAGCAUCACAUUAGGAUUUAUUAUCGGAUUUUGGACGAUUUGUGGAAGCCUUUUGUUGUUACGGACAUGGAGGAUCGCAUACUUCCACGCCAUUGAUAACAUGUUUGACAAGCUAUACGUGAUGAUGGUAGUGACCAUGGCAAAAUACAAAAGGAAACUAUGAUAACUCUGUUGUUGGAGAGGGUCGACAUGACUCAUCCCAACUUAAUCAAUAGCAGUAUCGAUCAGUAUGAUCAGUAUGUAGUACGCUCAUGGUUUGCAUGUUCUUAUCAGAAAACACCGUCACAUGAUUUUAAUUUCUCAUUUUUAUGCAUGUUAUAAUGACUGUUAUAUGAUCUGUUGAUUUUUGUCUGUGUAGUUUGUUUGUCAUCAAAAUAUGAGUUCUCUGCCUAUGGUUUAUGCGCUGGCUUUUUUUUCAAGCAGCAGUGUUUACGGUGUUCAAUAAAUGCGCUGGUAUUUAUUUGAGUAAUUCGUCCAUCCUCAACUUAAUCUCAGCAGUUAUGGGUAUAAGAUGCCAAGGGGGUUCCUUGGUUCCAUUGAUUCAAUGAUCGAGAUGAGUGAUUGAGAGUCCGAUUGAAUCCUUAGGCUGGUUAUUUAUAGUUCUUGAGCAUGGUGGAGCCCUUUCAUCAAUGGAUUGUGCGCUUGUAAGAUGCCAAGGGGGUUCCUUGGUUCCAUUGAUUCAAUGAUCGAGAUGAGUGAUUGAGAGUCCGAUUGAAUCCUUAGGCUGGUUAUUUAUAGUUCUUGAGCAUGGUGAAGCUGCCCACAGCAGCAAUGGUGGAGUUGGAAGUCGAGAGGAAGCAAAACCCAAUACCUACGGUAAGUUCAGUAAAAAGGAAUGAACCAUCACAUUACAUAAUAUAGUCAAAAGUUUCACCCCUUGGGUUCGGAUCCAGAGAAUUGAUUUUUUUUUUUUAACAGUAACAACUUUCAUCGAAAUUAAAGAAAGAUAACAAGAGGAUUGGAUGAUAUAUCAGAAUCACCCACUUUAUAAAAACAUGAAAACCCAUUGGUUCCUUAGAAAAGCAACAAGCUGAUGAGCUUUGCUGUUGAGAGCCUUAGAGAUAAAACUGUGAGCAAUGAUGUGAUGUUUGGCCAUAAAAAACUUUACAUCAGAAAUAAUGACAAAGGAACCAAGGGAUUUCCUUGGCACUGUUAACAAUAGAUAUUAGUGAUUGGGAGUCAGUUUGGAUCCAGGGGUGGUGCCACUGCAGUGCCUCUGUGUGUUUCAGCGCCUCCAGGACAACGAGAGCCUCUGCCAUUAGGGGAUUCGAUCGGCCCACAGCUAGCGAUGAGUUUGCAGCAAAGAGGAAGAUAAAUCUGGUUCCUGCAGAAAAUUCGAAGUGAAGUAAAAGAUUUGUCACAUUGUAAUAUGUAGCUGUAGAUCCCAUUACCUGGUCGAGGAUACAUAGUGCAUAUAUUCCUAGUUUUCUCAGGCGAAGGAUAUGAUUCAGCGAUUUCAUUGAUGAGGGCAAUCACCCUGGAGACUACGGUAGGAGGUUUGGCACGACAAUUAUGGAAUCUGACCUCAUUCCUAUCAAGCCAAAGACAACAAAAAGAAUAGGAAAUGAGACUUAAGAUCGUUCUAGAGAUUUGUUUGUCAUGACCAUCUCCCUCGUGAAGCCAAGAUAAGCCCAUGCGUCAAAGAACUUGAAACAAAUUUCAAUUUGGCCUGGAGCAGAUUCCAAAAAGAGAGGGCUGAAGAACAUUGUAGGAGAAUAUGUGGGGAGGUAUCUACCGAAAGGUGACAUACAAAGCAAUUAUCUUGCUGGUGGCGUAGAAUAUGUGCAAAGAGGUCAGAGAUGGGUAAUCGGUUCCAGGAGAGUUUCCAUAGAAAGAGUUUUAACUUUAGGAGAGAUAGGAAGGAGCCAUAUCUCCUUCUAGCCCUGCCAAACCUCCUCCUUAGAAUCUGAUUUGAUAUACCGAUAGAAAUCAAUAGUAGACAACAAGCCUAGGGGAUUGGAUUGUCAUAUCCAAGUGUCCUCAUCAAGAGCUCUAAGAAUAUGCAUUCUAAAUAUUCGUUCAACUAGGGAACCGUGGAAGAGCCGCUCAAACAAAACAACAUUCACGCGAUUAGAAACCAAAAGAUCAACCACAAGACAAAAAUUGAAGAUUUCCUCAAUGUUUAAGUAACGUUUAAGCGAUUUGAAAACAAUGAUGAACAGGAAGUCACACAGUUGCAACAAGGAGAAUCAGUAAUUUCAUGGAGAUAAAAUUAUCAUUAAUUUAAGCAAUGUUAACAUGAUGCACACUUCAUAAAUUUACCAACCAUUAAUCACCACAUGUCAUAUUGAAACAAUUUGCAAAAUAGGAAAUGGAUGGUAUCAAGUGCACAUCAUACAUUCAUAGACACAUACACAUACAUACACAUGGUCACACGAGGCAUGCACAUUCACACACACUGUUCAAGAGGAAAGGCUUAAAGAAGAACGUAUUAGGACAUCAAGAGCCGGAGAUCCUAUGAAGUCUUAGUUUAGGCAAAAAGCAACAUGUUAAAUUUGAUAAGAGGGGCCAAAAGUAGACAAGCUCUGAUACCAAAGAAUAUAAAUACUAAUCUUCUUAUCGACAUUAACCUAGCCAAAGACUAGCUUAGCUGGUACAUUGAUAGUUUAUCGUAAG